GCUGGGCGUGGUGGUGCAUGCCUGUAAUCCCAGCUACUCGGGAGGCUGAGGCAGAAGAAUCGCUUGAACCCGGGAGGCGGGAGUUGCGGUGAGCCAAGAUCGUGCCAUUGCACUCCAGCCUGGGUAACAAGAGCGAAACUCUGUCUCAA
rnacentral:SRP_RNA from 2 species